GUCUACGGCCAUACCACCCUGAACGCACCCGAUCUCAUCUGAUCCCAGAAGCUAAACAGGGUCCGGCCUGGUUAGUACUUGGAUGAGAGAAAUUAAUUUAUAAAUUAAUUAAACAUGGUAGCGUUAUUU
rnacentral:rRNA from 1 species